GGGAGGAACCAAGGUUUCUCCUCCAGCCCAGGGAGCCAGGGGCUGGCAUUCUGUGUCCAGGACUUCGGGCCCUCUGUGAGCCUCUGUCCGCCAAGGCGAUGGAGCUGUGUUUGGAGUCCCUCGUCUUUGGCAGCGGCUGGGGCCAAAGCCCGGGCAAGACCAACGCCUUCGGCACCCGGACUCAGGCUCCGUCCUCUCUGCCAGCGUGCGGCUACAAUGACUCGACAUGGCAGGUGGGCAAGCACAGCACGCCCCAACAGACAUGCUUUAUUUAAUAUGUACUAAAAAUACAGCAGGCCUGUGAAACCCACAGGUGCAAUUGCUUAAAAUGAGGCUAAGGUAGACGUGUGAAUGGUUAAUAAUGAGUUGAUUAAAAUAUUCAGAAAUCAUCUACUGGAGACGGGCAAACUGCAAAAUGGUAGCAUGGGAGCAACUGAUGUUCGAGAAAGCCCAGGCUCCGGCAAGCCGUGGGUUUGAAUUUACACAUGCGCACAUAAUGGGUAUGAAUAAACCUUUCUUCAAAAAAACCAGAUCAAGUCAAGGCAGUUAUUUGCUGUGGGCAGGUGCCAAGGCUGGCUGCUUCAGUCCCCACGCGAGUCGCCCCCGAGCCUGCUUCUGCAGCCCAGCCUGGAAAGUGCAAGGCACUUGGAAAGGAGCCACGCCCAACGCCCUGUACCAGCGGCCUCCCGGACACCAACAGCGUCCUCUGCGCCUGCUGCAGCUUGUCCCUUAGUCCUCCCUGGACAGAGGGCGUGAAGUUGGCUGCGCCAACAGGACGCGGCCCGCUCACUUCGGGGCUCAUUGUCCUGGACACACAGUCAGGGCUGGACGCCUCCAGCAGCCCCACGCUUCACCCCAAGGUCCGCAAACCUGACAACUUCGGAGGCCACUGCCUUCAGAGAAGGUGACAGAGGGCCAUGUCUGAAACAUUCUCCCACAACCAGGAACCCUCAGCAGCCGCUGAAGAGGAAAGGCAGUUAAAUGGAAAGACUUCUGAGCAAGUGGAGGAAAAGUCACGUGUGACCUAGGGAGGGGCUCCCACAGGAAGGGGCAAUGCCCUUGCCCUGUUCACCUAGCCUCCAGGUGGCUUCCCACUUGAAAUUUCAGAGGAUGGCAGAAACCUACUUACAAGGAAAUGAAAGAGGGCACAGCAACCUUAAGACCAGAGCAGCCCACGAUAUUUUUUAAUGAGGGCAAAAAUAGAAGACUUGCAAAAGACCCCUGAAAAUAAUGCCUGGAAGCUGCGAAACAUCAGACUGACACCGCACAAAAGAGGUCCAGCUGAGCAGGAGAAAAGCUUGAGAAGCAUCCAGAACAAUGUAGGUGGAGAGGCUAAGAAGAAAGAGGAGCCCACAUGGAAUGAAUAACCAAGGUCGGGACAGAGGAAGGUUCGCCAGAACUGGGAGGGCUGAAAUUGGACAUUGAGAUAAAUUAAAGAGUGUUCUUUAAAACUGUCAAGACUUUGGCUGGUCAAUAAGUAAACUGCAAACGAGUGUUCCUAAACCACAGCAGCAAUGCUCCCUGGAGGAGGGAAGGAGGCCGGGGCUGCCACUCUCCCAGGUGGCUGCGUCCCGGCCUUUGCCAUUGAUGUGUGCUUUCUCCAGGCUCACAGAUGUCCCUGGGCCGGUUGCAUCUGUGACCAGGACUCUGCCACCUGCCUGUGGCUUGCUGAUCAGCUGGUCACCCAGGAAUGUUAGGGAUGAACAGAGACCUAGAACUCAGGCUCCAUGGAUCUGGCAGCACCAGGAGACGAGGUUUCAAAUCUCAUGGCUGGGCCAGCCAGCCAGGUGCCCUGGAACUGUUGUGAUCCCUGCUCCUUGCCGGGCUUAGCCUCCUCUUACUUCAGCCCAGAAGUCCCCGAGUACCCACUCAACAAAUGCCAUCCCUUUAAUUUCUGUGGCCUGCUGCCAUCACGGCUCGCCUAAUUCAUUCCCUCCACACCCUAAGUGUCCACGGAAGUGGCUGAAACAGUAAAACCACAGAGGAGCAUUCAUUCCAGUCCCCAAGGCAAGCCCCC
rnacentral:lncRNA from 1 species